rnacentral:lncRNA from 1 species
GGUCGUAGGAGAGCUAAGUGGAAUUUCAAAGAAUAUCUUCUGAGGUCUUUAUUUUUUGGCUCUGUGACUGAGGCUCGUGACUUUGAUUAUCCCUUUAAAAAGGUCGGUAAAAAUGUCAGCACUUUGGGUUCUUGCAAUGGAUUGAUUUUCCUUGCCCAUAAUGCACAAUAUUUUCUUUUAUGGAAUUCAACAACUAGAAUGCACAAGAAUUUGCUUCAUAUUGAACUUAGUUGGAAGUACAAACUUGCCAUAGAUAGUUUUGGAUAUGAUGAGCUCUAUGACGAUUAUAAGGUAGUGGGUAUCUUUUAUAACAACCAUGUGGUUCAAAUGACAUUGAGGUUAAAAUAUAUAGUCUAAAAAGUGAUUCCUGAAGUAGUGUUGACUAUUAUGGGAAUAUAUUAAAUACUUCAUACUCUAUUAGAAAAAUAAUGUUAAGUGGUUCAGGUUUGUCUGCAAAUGGGAAGCUUCAUUGGGAUACUAUUGCAGUUGGUCCUUAUUUCACUUUUGUGUGUAUGGGCAUUAGCUAUUUUGAUUUAGCUAAUGAGAAAUGGGAAACAAUGGAGAAGCCCUCCUAUGGAGUAGAAGAGACUGAUUUGUGUCUGGGAAUGUUGGGAAGUGAUCUUUGUGUCUUUACUGAUUAUAAGAGAACUGUUUGGGUUAUGAAUGAGUACGGGGUUAAAGAGUCUUGGAUAAAGAAGUUUACCAUCACGUAUCCAAUUUAUCAAGUUUUAUAUCCACCUUUUUUCAUGUCAAAUAAAGGUGAAAUAUUGGCAGUGUUGGAAUCAAUUUCCAUAAUAUACAAUUCAAAAGAUGACACAUUCAGAUAUCCAUAUGUUACUGUGAUGACUUUCAUGGCGCGAAAAUCUAUGUUGAAAGCCUAGUUUGUUCUUUUUUAAUUGAAGUGACAGAGAAAUCAACAAAAGAAAUGCGGAAAAAGCUCAGAUCAAAACCAUCAAGUAACAAAUAAUUUUUAAGAGUACUUUCUUCUCAAGUUCUUUCAAAUUUUGUUUGUUAUUUCAAAUAUAGAAUAGACACACAUGUGAAGGAUAUGUUUAAAUUAUUUUUAUUCUGGACUAGUUCUGGUGUUCUCCUUGCUGCUAAUAUCUAGAUGUAUAUUUUCUUUAUUUGUUGAUAAGAUAAGUGGUAUUAAUAACAGCAUCGGGAAGAUGCAAAAUUUACAAGAUAUGGCAUUUGAGCUUACAAAAAAAUCUCUGGCUAACUAUACAAACUAUCUAAGCCAGAGCUAAUGAGUUAGUAAAAUCCUGAAGUUGUUCUGCAUUAACAGCAGGAUACAAGUUGGUCCAACUAAACAAAUUUUCAGUGCACCUAGUCUUCAAAAUGCCUAAAGCAGUUGACUCUCCAUCAAAACAUCUCUUGUUCCUCUCCAACCAAAUACUCCAAAAAAUACAAGCAGGUAUCAUAAUCCAGAUCUUCUUGAUGGCUUUGUCAACUUUCCAUAGACUCCAACUCUCAUAUGCAUCCUUAACAGUGAGGGGUGUGGUCCAAUUGAUGCCAGAGAGACAAAAAAACAUGCUCCAUAAUUCUGAGGCCACCUCACAAUGAAGAAGAAGGUGUCUGGGGGUUUCAGCCUCUUUUUUGCACAUAUAGCAUCUGUUUGGGAAUUGGAUUUUUCUUUUCUUUAUGUUGUCUUGGGUGAGACAUGCCUCAUAUAGAGCUAUCCAGGUAAAAAAAACUACCUUAGGUGGUAGCUUGGUCCUCCAAAUGAGUUUCCAAGGCCAGUUAGCUAUCACGGGGUUUCUAGAGCACAACUGUUGAUACCCUUCCUUGACUGUAUAAACUCCUUUCUGGUGUCCCCAUUUGAGCUUAUCAGCUGCCUGGAGAUUAAUGUGACAAUGUNNNNNNNNNNNNNNNNNNNNNNNNNNNNNNNNNNNNNNNNNNNNNNNNNNNNNNNNNNNNNNNNNNNNNNNNNNNNNNNNNNNNNNNNNNNNNNNNNNNNNNNNNNNNNNNNNNNNNNNNNNNNNNNNNNNNNNNNNNNNNNNNNNNNNNNNNNNNNNNNNNNNNNNNNNNNNNNNNNNNNNNNNNNNNNNNNNNNNNNNNNNNNNNNNNNNNNNNNNUUUUUUUUGAUAAGAUAAGUGGUAUUAAUAACAGCAUCGGGAAGAUGCAAAAUUUACAAGAUAUGGCAUUUGAGCUUACAAAAAAAUCUCUGGCUAACUAUACAAACUAUCUAAGCCAGAGCUAAUGAGUUAGUAAAAUCCUGAAGUUGUUCUGCAUUAACAGCAGGAUACAAGUUGGACCAACUAAACAAAUUUUCAAUGCACCUAGUCUUCAAAAUGCCUAAAGCAGUUGACUCUCCAUCAAAACAUCUCUUGUUCCUCUCUAACCAAAUACACCAAAAAAUACAAGCAGGUAUCAUAAUCCAGAUCUUCUUGAUGGCUUUGUCAACUUUCCAUAGACUCCAACUCUCAUAUGCAUCCUUAACAGUGAGGGGUGUGGUCCAAUUGAUGCCAGAGAGACAAAAAAACAUGCUCCAUAAUUCUGAGGCCACCUCACAAUGAAGAAGAAGGUGUCUGGGGGUUUCAGCCUCUUUUUUGCACAUAUAGCAUCUGUUUGGGAAUUGGAUUUUUCUUUUCUUUAUGUUGUCUUGGGUGAGACAUGCCUCAUAUAGAGCUAUCCAGGUAAAAAAAACUACCUUAGGUGGUAGCUUGGUCCUCCAAAUGAGUUUCCAGGGCCAGUUAGCUAUCACGGGGUUUCUAGAGCACAACUGUUGAUACCCUUCCUUGAUUGUAUAAACUCCUUUCUGGUGUCCCCAUUUGAGCUUAUCAGCUGCCUGGAGAUUAAUGUGACAAUGUUGUAGUCUAGCAAAAAGGUCUACCAGAUCAUUCACUUCCCAAUCGUGCAUAUUUCUUCUAAAUCUCAGAUCCCAAUUGAUCCCUUCUCUAUUAGCAGCAAUAACAAAAUUGGGAUCUUGAGCAAUUCUAAACAGAUCUGGGAAAUCCUCCUGAAGAGUGGUACUAGGUAACUUUCGUGCACCUCAACUAAUUCCACUAGAUACAUGUUACCUCUCACCAACAGCUUGUACUAGGUAACUUUGUCUAUCAAGGCUAGGACAGAUGAGAAAGAACCACCUAGUGUUUGUGUUGUCUCUAUUAGUGUUUGAACCUGAGACCUCAUGGUUCUCAACCCACUUCAUUGAUCACUAGGCCGCACCCUUGGGUGCUAUGUAUAUAGUGUUUAUGGAGGUCAAGUUAUUUCUUGAGUCAAGUUUAUUAUGUGCUCUUAUGCACUGUUCUUCUGUUAGGUUUCCAUAACCACAUUCUUGCAUUAUAGAGAACCCAAUGUGGCUAGGUAUGUCUACCGUUUGAUAUACUUAUGGAGAUUUCCCCAACACUAAUACGAUAACUUACCUUAUUAAAGGAAACCAUAUUUCAGCAUAAUAAAUAAUCAUGUCUAUUCAGGAACUAAUUGUAAUGUAUCAUCAAACUAAAUAAUCUUCUUUUGUUUCUUACUAGGGAAAUAGGCCGCGCUUCGCGUGAUUAUAAAAAUUCUCAUGUACCAGGUACCUGUGUCCAUCAAGGCUAGGACAAAUGAGAAGAAAUCACUUAGUGUGUUUGUCUACUUUGUUGAGAUUUGAACCUGAGACCUUAUGGUUCUCAACCCACUUCAUUGAUUUAUUUAAUCUUUUUCGUCUAUAAAUGUUGACGCUUCUUAUCUCUAUAUGUCAUGCUAUCAACAACUAUGUAUUGUGAUAUUUUAGAAUUUUGACCUAAGUCAAUGAUAGGAAAAAUAGUUAAUCCGUGUAGAAUUUUUCUUAUAGUUUGACAGACUUGCAUUCACUUAUACUUUGGUUCUAUUUGUUGAUUUGCAUAUGUUGUGAGCCAUUCAAUUGAGGAAGCAAGAGAGAGAAACAACCAAAGGGUUGGGGGGGGGGGGGGUGCGCGGCCUGUUUAUAUCCCGCCGGGGNNNNNNNNNNNNNNNNNNNNNNNNNNNNNNNNNNNNNNNNNNNNNNNNNNNNNNNNNNNNNNNNNNNNNNNNNNNNNNNNNNNNNNNNNNNNNNNNNNNNNGGGGGGGGGGGGGGGGGGGGGGGGGAUUCGUGCUAGUUGUAUCUCCCAGAGCUAGAGACGGUCAUGGUUUCAUGCUAUGUAAAUCACCUUACUGCUCCAUUUUGGCAGCAUAAUAUGAUCAUGUGAUUGACAAUGAGUGCCUGUUUUGGUAAUUCAUCAUUGUGUCAAGGGUCUACCGGGAACAACCUCUCUACCACACACAAAGGUAGGGAUAAGGUAUGCUUACAUCUUAUCCUUCAGACACCACUUGCGAGAUUACAUUGAUUAUGUUGUGAUUGGCUGGAGAAUUGCUUGUAACUUUUCUUAACUUUAGUCUUUAGAUAUGUUAUAAUAGAAAACAUAUACCACUUGAAGUUGUAUCGUCUAUUAGAUAAGUCAACUUUUGCUUAAAAUGGAAGUUAAGCACCUUUGUCAUGUCAUAAAUGUAGUUGCUAUCGAUAUAGUGCUUGUCUUUUUUGCUUAAACAAGGCAAGUAGUAACUAAUGCUAAUUUUGUUUGCCACAUAUUGGGAAAUUUGUACACCAUAGAGAAUAUUCUUGAUCGGUGUUAUCAAAAGCAAAAAUCGCAAAAAAGCUCUAAGGUUCAUUGGUAAAGUGAAUAUCAAUUGUUUAGUGUUGUCUCAUCGGAAAAGGUUCAUUGGCAAGGAAAAUUAUGUCUUAGAACCUUGAUGAUGACACUAAAGCGCACAUUAAGCGAGGCAAAGCGCUCAACACAUUUUGAACCUCGCUUCAGGGCUUAAGUGCGCCUUUGAUAACACUGGUCUUGAUCAAUUACAAUCUGUGUGCAUAGAAAUACAUUUAAUACUCUCUAUUUAGUUCAAUUCUUAUAACAAUCCCAGAAUAUUUUACUUCAUCAUUAAAAAACAAUCCCAGAAUGUUUUGUUUUUGACUUUUUUAGUCAUAUUAAUGUCUUAAGAUAUACUCUUUCUUCAUUAAAUAUUUACUUUAUGUGUACCAUCUCUCCAUAAUUGAGGUGUUUGUAGUUUCAAAGUAAAUACUACUAAGAAUAAAAAAUAAAAUAAAAAUCUGGUCUUAAACUUUUAAAAUGAAAAAUAAUUUGAGAAAACUAUUUUAAGAAAUCAUAAUGAAUUAUUUGAGAUUGAGGGAAUAGUAUAGUUGAAAGCCGGAAAAAAACCUAUAGGGACGGUUGGGAUUAGAUAUAUAAAAAUAAAUAAGAAAAAACAAUUGGAUAUACUAAACUCUCCAUAUAAUUUGAAAUUAAAAAAAAACAUUAGAUCACAAAAAUCUACGGCAAUCUUAUCCUGCAUUUCUAAGCGGGAUAUAAAUGGUUGUUUUAUUUUUUGAGACGAGUAACCCUUCAAAGUGAAACUCAAAUGGAAUUUGAAGUCUCCGAUGCUAUUCAAGUUCCAUCAAAUUCAAUGCAAGAUUCGAUCUUGACAAUUCCUUUAUUGCCACUAGAACUCAUCACUUAAAUUCUGUUGAGGCUUCCAGUGAAAUCCCUCUUGAAAUUCAGGUCUGUUUCACAAUCUUGACUUGCUUUAAUCUCUAAUCAUGUAUUUAUCAAGACUCAUCUUAGUUUAUCUGCUAAUAACAAGAAUACGGAAGACACCCACCAUGUACUUUUUUUGGAUAUUGGUGGAAAGAAAUGGAAUUACAAAGAAUGUCCUCUUAAAUCUUUAUUUUAUGACGCUGUUACCGUGGCUCUUGAAUUGGAUUUUUCCAUUGAAAACGACAUGUAUUGGCUCUAUGUUAAGGGUUCUUGCAAUGGAUUGGUUUAUCUUGCCCAUGAUAGUUUAGAAUAUUCCCUUUUAUGGAAUCCAACAACUAGAAAGCACAAGAAUUUGCCACUUUUUAGACCUAGAUUGAAAAAAUAGGAACGCGCAUAUGGUUUUGGAUAUGAUGAGCUCCAUGAUGAUUAUAAGGUAGUGAUUAUUUCUUAUAAUUAUAUUGUUCGCGAUUCAGAUGACAUUGAGGUCAAAGUAUAUAGUCUAAAGAGUGAUUCUUGGACUAGUGUUGAUUAUUGUGAUGAGACAUUCUCUAACAAAAAAAGUGUUGGUUAUUGUGGGGAUAGAUUAAUUUUUUGAAGGCUCUUUUGUGGAUGGAAAAUUUCAUUGGGGUACUUCUAUUUCUGAUCCUGAUCCUAAUGUGCGUAAAGGUAGGAACAUUAUUGCUUUUGAUUUAGCUAAUGAGAAAUGGGAAAAGGUGGAGAAGCCCUCCUAUGGAGAAGGAGAGACUGAAUUGCUUGUGGGAAAGUUAGGAAGUCAUCUUUCUGUCUUCUGUGAUUAUAAGACAACUCAUUUAGGUGCUUGGGUUAUGAAGGAGUAUGGAGUGAAAGAAAGUUGGAUAAAGAUGUUUACCAUCAGGUAUCCAAAUGAUCCAGAAUGGUAUCCAAGCUUUUUCAUGUCAAAUAAAGGUGAAAUAUUGUCGGUGUUUAGAGCAACUUCCAUGAUAUACAAUUUAAAUGAUGACUCAUUCAGAUAUUCAGAUGUUACUAACUGUCAUGACGGUUGAUAUGCACAAUUCUACCUUGAAAGCCUAGCUUGCCCUUUUUCAACCCAAGGGACAGAGGACGCCAAAAAGCUGCUCGUAUCAAAACAAUCGAGUGACAAAUAACUUGUAAGAGUACUUUCUUCUCAAGUGCUUUCAAAUUCUGUUUGUUAUUUCAAAUAUUAAACAAGACACACAUGUGAAGGAUCUCUUUAAACUAUAUUGCUUCUGGAUUAGUUUUGGUUGUCUCCUUGCUGCUAAUCGUUAGAUGUAUAUUUUCUUCCAGACGAAUUACUUGUCAUUCCAUUUUGGUCAUUUCUUUCCCUUUGACAGUACCACUAACACAAGCAACACUGCAAUGCAAGGAUAAAGAACUUAGGAGGCUCAUUUUAUCUGCUUUGAUCAUGAGGGUAGGGUGGGGAUACCAAAGAAAAAGAAUAUAAGAGAAAGAGAGUUCGGAAUGAACUUCGUUUGAGAGGGUCCUAUCUAUUCUAAGGUUUUGUAGAUUGAAGUGCAAGCUUUUGUCAACUUUGUUAUAUGACCUAGAAUUUUGAACAAGAAUUAUUCCUACUAUAAAUUCUUUUCUCUUGUUUCUACACAGACUGGCAAAUUUUAUCUAUAGUUUGACCUAUCAAUAAAUAAAAGAAAAAUUGUAUAUGUAGUUUUACCUUUUCUGAUAAUUUGUAUAUGGUUUCUUGCUUUGUAAAUCACUUAAUUACUCCUUUUGGGCAGCAUAAUAUGAUCAUGUGAUUGUCAUGAGUACUGCUUGUGAGUUUUCUUAACCAUAGUUCUUAUGAUAUUUAUUUAUAACAUAUAUCACUUGAAGUUGCACUGGUCUGGACAUCAGAUAUGCUAACUAUGGUAUAUUUGUUUGUUCAUUGCUUAAGUUGCACAGUUCAGCGCUUUUGUCAUGUCCCAGAUGUGUAGCUGGUAUUGAUAAAGAGCUUGUCAUUUUCAUUCAAACAAGGCGGACUGUUACUAAUUAUGGUUUUGUUUGCUAGUACAUUUGAACACAGGACAACCCUGCAUUUGGUGCUUCUAUAUCUGCUGUGUUUCUACUUGUCAUCAUUUGAGUUGUUAUUUAUGUGACAAAAAGUUGUUCCUAUUCUUGAUGUUGAUCUCCGAAAGAAGUUAUAUGUAUAUUUUGUGAACUGGAAGUUAGGUUCAGUGUUUCGGAUCCCAACAAGAAUGGAAGAUGGUGCAACAUAGAUCAUGGACGUUACUUCAAAUGGAAAAAACCUUAGCCUGCCUCACUUGCUUUUUUCACUACAUAAAUAAGGAUAUAAGUGAAGUCCGAUAUGUAUGGAUGAUGGAUGACACACCCAGAAUUGCUAGGUAUAAACUUAGAGAUUAAUUAUAAUAUGUUUCUUUCCAUUCCUCAUGAGCCACUUAUUUCUCCGAAACAAGAGAUUAAAGUCAUCUUUCUCCUUUUCCCUAAGAAGUCGACGGUGUUAAUUUAUUCAAGUUGUUGAGACCAUAAAAAAGGGAAGAAACAAAUGAAGGUCUCUUGUUAAUUCAAAUGAUUUUAGGUUAAUUUGAUUUGGUUUGUCU